GAUGAACGCUGGCGGCGUGCCUAAUACAUGCAAGUCGAGCGAACAGACGAGGAUCUUGCUCCUCUUACGUUAGCGGCGGACGGGUGAGUAACACGUGGAUAACCGACCUAUAAGACUGGGAUAACUUCGGGAAACCGGAGCUAAUACCGGAUAAUAUAUUGAACCGCAUGGUUCAAUAGUGAAAGACGGUUUUGCUGUCACUUAUAGAUGGAUCCGCGCCGGAUUAGCUAGUUGGUAAGGUAACGGCUUACCAAGGCUACGAUGCGUAGCCGACCUGAGAGGGUGAUCGGCCACACUGGAACUGAGACACGGUCCAGACUCCUACGGGAGGCAGCAGUAGGGAAUCUUCCGCAAUGGGCGAAAGCCUGACGGAGCCACGCCGCGUGAGUGAUGAAGGUCUUCGGAUCGUAAAACUCUGUUAGUAGGGAAGAACAAAUGUGUAAGUAACUAUGCACGUCUUGACGGUACCUACUCAGAAAGCCACGGCUAACUACGUG
rnacentral:rRNA from 1 species